rnacentral:tmRNA from 1 species
GGGGGCGUACCGGAAUCGACAGGGAAGUAAGCUUUGUAGUAAGCAUGCCGGAGCAUGAUCAGUUACUCCGUUAAAAAUAAUGAUCGAACCCUUUAGUUGGCACUCCCAGCUAUGCAAUGGCAGCCUAGUCUCAGACUAACUGCCUAAAUGUGCCGUGUUGUUGACGCCUGAUACACACUUCGCCGCAUAUCAUCACCCCCUCGGGCUGGCCCGCGACCCUGAUCUGAGUCGUGAGCGAGAUAAAGGAUCAAAGGCACCGACCUAAGUGGGUUACCAGACUUACCCGGUGCACUAAAAUUUGAUUGGUUCCUAAGCAUGUAGAAAGUUGCUUUGCGCUUUCGCUGGACGCGAGUUCGACUCUCGCCGCCUCCAC